rnacentral:rRNA from 1 species
UACGUAGGGGGCAAGCGUUAUCCGGAUUUAUUGGGUUUAAAGGGUGCGUAGGCGGACUUAUAAGUCAGUGGUGAAAUCUCGAUGCUUAACAUCGAACGUGCCCAUUGAUACUGUAGGUCUUGGAGUACAGAUGCCGUUGGCGGAAUGUGUCAUGUAGCGGUGAAAUGCAUAGAUAUGACACAGAACACCGAUUGCGAAGGCAGCUGACGAAACUGUAACUGACGCUGAGGCACGAAAGCGUGGGGAUCAAACAGG